rnacentral:rRNA from 1 species
GACGAACGCUGGCGGCGUGCCUAAUACAUGCAAGUCGAACGCAGUGGGGCCGAGUGAGUAACACGUUGGUAACCUCCCAUCAGAGGGGAUAACACUUGGAAACAGGUGCUAAACCGAUACUGCAGGGUGGACCGGCGGUGCAUUAGCUAGUUGGUGAGGUAACGGCUCACCAAGGCCACGAUGCAUAGACGGCCUGAGAGGAGAAUCGGCCACACUGUGACGGAGACACGGCCCAGACUCCUACGGGAGGCAGCAGGAGGGAAUCUUCGGCAAUGGACGAAAGCCUGACCGAGCAACGCCGCGUGAGUGAAGAAGGUUUUCGGAUCGUAAAACUCUGUAGUUAGGGAAGCGGUACCUAACCAGAAAGCCACGGCUAACUACGUGCCAGCAGCCGCGGUAAUUC